rnacentral:lncRNA from 1 species
CGCCCCCCAAAGAGAGACCAUAUACAGAGAUGAGUACUUUUUCAAGCAAAAAUCUGGAAGUGCUAGACAGUUUUUCCAUUGACUUUUUUGCUGGAAAUGAAGAUGGAGAAAUUGUUUAUUCUGACUGGAAAAUGACAACUGCUGGUCGUUCAGCAAAACCAGUUAGUGAGAAGCACUCUGAGAAAUACACCCUCCACACUGAACCUAUCAACACUCUCCAGAAAUCUCCUUUUUUUGAUGACAUCUUUCUAAGCAUUGGAGGCCAGAAGUUUGCCAUUUG